rnacentral:rRNA from 1 species
UAUUUUGACUAUACAAAGGUAUUGUAAUAAGACUUUAAUUGAGUGCUAAAAGAAUGGAGUUUCAAAAAAAGUCUAUCUUGAAUUUAAAAAUUGAAUUUAUUUUUAUUUGUGAAGAAACAAUAAUUAAAAUUAAGGACAAGAAGACCCUAAGAAUUUUUAAUUUUGUAUAUAUAUAUAUUUAUAUAUACAAAAUUUUAAUUGGGGCGAUUAAAAAAUAUAAUUAACUUUUAAUUUUAAAAAAUGAUCCAUUAUUAAUGAUUUAAUGUAAAAAAUACUCUAGGGAUAACAGCGUAAUAAUUUUAGAUAGAUCUUAUAGAAAAAAUAGUUUGCGACCUCGAUGUUGGAUUAGGAUUCUUUUUUAAUGAAGAAGUUAAAAUAAGAAGUUUGUUCAACUUUUAAAAUCC